rnacentral:rRNA from 1 species
GACGAACGCUGGCGGCGUGCCUAAUACAUGCAAGUCGAACGCAGUGGGGACGGGUGAGUAACACGUGGGUAACCUCCCAUCAGAGGGGAUAACACUUGGAAACAGGUGCUAAACCGAUACUGAUGGAUGGACCCGCGGUGCAUUAGCUAGUGGGUGAGGUAACGGCUCACCAAGGCCAAGAUGCAUAGCCGACCGAAGGGGGUGAUCGGCAACACGGAGACGGAGCCACGGCCCAGACUCCGACGGGAGGACGCAGUAGAGAAUCUUCGGAAAUUGACAAAAGUCUGACCGAGCAACGCCGCGUGAUUGAAGAAGGUUUUCGGAUCGUAAAACUCUGUUGUUAGAGAAGCGGUAUCUAACCAGAAAGCCAAGGCUAAAUACGUGCCAGCAGCCGCGGUAAUAC